rfam:Bacillus sp. FJAT-22058 super1, whole genome shotgun sequence.
UGAAGUUACAUUAAUACAUCUCAUAUAAUCAUGGGGAUAUGGCCCAAAAGUUUCUACCUGAUGACCGUAAAUCAUCGGACUAUGAGAAAAGCAUCUGACUAU